AUUUAACAAAAAUGGACAAUCUUCUUGAAAAAAAAAAACAAUCGAUUGCCCUUACUGCUAGCCAAAAAUUCACUUCCUUGCAUUCCAGAAGGAGGAAGAAUAAAUUCAAUAAUUAUUCCCUCAGCAGACCUAUGGUGCAGAAUGCGAAGAGUACUUCAAAAUAGUCUUCUCCACAUCAUGUUUUUUAACUUGCAUUCUCCUUUAAACAUUUUUCAUUUUUUUAUUUGAAUUUCAGUUAAAAAGGAAACUUUCUUUGAAAUUCAGCUGGCCUAGCUCAUAAGUAACAAAAUUGUUACCAAACUAAAUGAUGCAAAUGCAAAUGCAUUUGGAACAACGUUCUCAGCAACAAAUGGAGCUUAUUCUUUAUGAAAAUACAAAAGAAAAACUCCACCGAUCCUACAAGAGACUUGAGAAUGUUAAAAUGCUUACAAAAACUGUAUCCGAUGCACUUAAGAAUGCCGAACUCAUAUGGAUAACUACACAAUUGGAUUUGGAAAAAAUUCGUAACCGAUUUAGUAACUUGGAUGAAUUAAAUAUGCAAUGAAAAAUGUACAAAAGCUUGUUUGUAUGAAUAUAAAAAGUUUGGAAGGCUUUUGAAACAUACUUUGAAUGCAUUGAUAAAUAAGAAACCUUAUACGUCUGUUUUGGAUUUAAUCAAUGAACUCAAUCGAAUUGAGAACAUCUUGAAGCCUUAUGUGUAUGAUAGUCCUGUUAAAUUGGCCAUGUUCGAACAAAUAAACUUACUCAAACCAAUUUUCAAUGCAAAAAUGAAUAAGAAACAUUUUGAAAUGGAUUUUCGGCAUUUGCGUUCUCAAUUCCAGGAGAAUAUUCAUGAAAAAAUGAACGAUGAUGCCUUGUUGCAAAAAAAUUACUAGAUGCCGUUGCUGAGGUUCGAAAAGCAGCUUUUAAAGUACCAGUAAUGACGGGAGUCAAAUCACUUGGGGGUACAAAGACAAAAGGAGGAGAAUCAAGUAUACCUUGAAAUG